rnacentral:misc_RNA from 1 species
GUAUAUUUGAUCCACCACAUCGCAGAUGAUAUUUAUUACUGCUAGUGUAAUGUGUUGCCAAGAGAGGGCGGCAGUAGUACCAGGAGCCUGGUUACCAGGUAACACAUCAACCACACCAAAAAAAAACCAUGUCGAUGUUCAAAGCCAAAGUUUUACUUCUCGGGCCGAUGGAAAGUGGCAAAACAGUCCUGGCUAAUUUCCUGUGUAAAGCCACUGAAGUUACAAAUAUUUCUCCUACUGUUGGGGUCAGAAUAAUGGAGUUUGAGCAGCCAAUGAUUCUGGAUGGUCGUAAUACUGUUGCUGAUAUUGAAUUGUGGGACUGUAGUGGUGAUCAUAGAUAUGAAUCCUGUUGGGCAGCAUUUAGUAAAGAUGCCAAUGGUAUUAUCUUUGUUUAUAACCCAGACCGUGCCAACCACAACAAAGAACUUGAAGAGCUACUUGCUUAUUUCCUACCUCAGACAGGCCUUACCACCAACCACUGCUUCUGUGUGAGCAAUGUUAGAGCCGAGGCUUACAAUGCUCCUGUUCGCAGUGAACUCCAUACAGCUAUUUUGUGCGAUCAUGCAAAAUAAGCCCCAAACGAUGUAUCUUAAUCAUCUUGCAAUAUCCAUGUAAUGCUUUGACCUAUGAUCUCCCUCCAUCAUUUCAGAACAUACAAUGCAUUGAAGCAAAUCUGGAGUCCAGUUCAGAAGAUCUGAGAGAGCAGCUUGAAACGUUUCUUGUGACAGUGUUGGUAGCCAUGACUGACAAACGUGACCAAGAGGAACUCAGCA